ensembl:lncRNA
GGAUAUCGUUCCAGUUGUCCUGUACUUGCUGGGGAAUAGAAAGGGAGGGAAGAGUGCAGGAGUGACCUGGUUCUCAGGAGUAAGCACAGUGGCUCUGCCAGAAAGGAAGGAAUACAUCUCAAACAUGGGAAUAUCAGGAAGGAAGAGAGGUAGACCCCAAAUUCCAUUCUGAAAACAUUUUUGGAGCAACACCCAGAUCAGCACGUGUGCAGGAGAUCUAUUCUUCACUGCAUUAUCACUGUUUGGCAGUGCUGUAGUUCCUGCCUGCGGCCAACCUGGGAAGCUACUCCUCCAAUAUGCAGAUAUUUACCUAAUCUUUCCAGCACAGAGGUUGUUUGAUUUCGGAGGUCCAGAAGUGUUUCUGAAAUUUCACUCUGCUUCUGUGUUGGGAUGGCACCCAGGUAUGUAUUAUCUCAUUCUUUCUCCCUAAUCAAUUAUUUGAAUGGCCUAAAAAG